UACGUAGGGUGCAAGCGUUGUCCGGAUUUAUUGGGCGUAAAGAGCGUGUAGGCGGUUAGGUAGGUCCGUUGUGAAAACUCGAGGCUCAACCUCGAGACGUCGGCGGAAACCAUCUGGCUAGAGUCCGGAAGAGGAGAGUGGAAUUCCUGGUGUAGCGGUGAAAUGCGCAGAUAUCAGGAAGAACACCCGUGGCGAAGGCGGCUCUCUGGGACGGUACUGACGCUGAGACGCGAAAGCGUGGGGAGCGAACAGG
rnacentral:rRNA from 1 species